ACUUAAAUUGAAGAAAGUAGGGAACACUACUAGACCAUUCAGCUUGCUGAAGACCUGGGGUUACCUGAUUCUCCAGCUUAUAAAGAGCAGCUGGAUUAUAUGAAAUCCCUCAACUUGUGUGUGUUGGCAACUACUCUAAAAGGUAAACCUUGUGCAGGAAGAAUGGAGCACCCAAGAGCGCCAAUCUGCACCCUCUGCUACGUUAGGAAGGGUCCAUGUGCUCAAGAGGACGUAGGUCUGAGUUAACUCACACGCUGAAGCUGCAUGGACAUUGAUUUUAAUCACAGCAUAUGGAGGAACUUCCCAACAAGCACAUCUAGACAACGGUGGAAUAGUCAUUCCCCCUCAGAAGUGCGGCUGCCCCCUGGGGACCUGCAGCAGCACGUAUGACAGAUGACCAUCUCUCAGCUGUGCUGCAAGUGAGAUUGGACCUCAUGAGUCUCAGGCUCCUCCCAUGUUGAGUCUAUAAAUCUACAUACUCACAGCAGGCUGUGAUAUGACGAGUGUCUUUUCUUUGGAUUACAAAAUAAAUUGUUGUUUAUAAAGAGCCAGUAAGGGCAAAAGGCAUAGGCAGCAGGAGGAAGUGGGCUUCAAGAAGCAGCUGUCACUGGACAGAGAUCAAUAAAGUGACUUGGUUAUAAAAUAAGUUUGAAACAUCUUCCUCUCAAACUUGUCUUAUCUGGAAAAAAAAAAAAAGGCCAAAAUCUUUUACUAUUCCCUUUUGGUUAUCUGAAUAAAACAAAGCAGAGAUGUGA